rnacentral:rRNA from 1 species
CCUACGGGCGGCAGCAGUGAGGAAUAUUGGUCAAUGGACGAACGUCUGAACCAGCCAAGUAGCGUGAAGGAUGACUGCCCUAUGGGUUAUAAACUUCUUUUAUAAAGGAAUAAAACCAGGCACGUGUGCCUUUUUGCAUGUACUUUAUGAAUAAGGAUCGGCUAACUCCGGUCCAGCAGCCGCGGUAAUACGGAGGAUCCGAGCGUUAUCCGGAUUUAUUGGGUUUAAAGGGAGCGUAGAUGGGUUGUUAAGUCCGUUGUGAAAGUUUGCGGCUCAACCGUAGAAUUGCAAUUGAUACUGGCAGUCUUGAGUACGGUGGAGGUAGGCGGAAUUCGUGGUGUAGCGGUGAAAUGCUUAGAUAUCACGAAGAACCCCGAUUGCGAAGGCAGCUUACUAGACUGUGACUGACAUUGAGGCUCGAAAGUGUGGGUAUCAAACAGGAUUAGAUACCCCUGUAGUC